UUGUUGCUUAACAUACUUAUUCAUUACAUUUCCAAUAAACGUCAUACAUAUUCAUUAGUUGUCCGAGAAUCGUUUUACAUAAUUCCACGCCUAUUUUUGCAUGCGCAUAACAAGGUGGUAGUGGUCUUUGGUGGUCGUUUUACUUCUUCCAACAAUCUUCAUCACUUACUUGGCCGUUCCUUGAACUCUUGUUCUGGUGGUCUUUGAAGCAUGCACAGUAGCCAAAUGCUUACACCAGCUUAAUUGGUUCGGUAACAGUGCUGACAUAAGUGAGUGAUUUCUCCCUGGCCUUCUAUUUAUCAGUUAACUUAGCUACAGCACCUCCUGAACGUCUGCUAGUUUCAGAUAUACAGUCCUGUUUUGCUUACAGUAAAUUCUGUACAAAGGUCAUAAGGUUCUAAAACUCUGUCAGCUACAACGAUUUAUCUUAUACAAGGAUCCUUAUUAUGUUCUUUUGGUUGGGCUCUUUAGGUUUGGAAAGUUUUGUUGUUACGUCAGCAACCACUAGUCUGGUUUGGGCUGAUUAUUAUGAAAUACCUAAGAUCCUUUCCAUUGCUAUUGUUACAAAGCCACCAAGCUUUUAUUUACAAAGGAUUAUAUUUCAUUUUGUAUGUCUUUAUCUCAGUUAGAAAACUAGAGGAAAUAUGUUCAAAUGUGUCAGUUGCAUAUUCAACAGUACUAUUAAUAUGCCUUAUUGCUGUAUAGUUCUUUCUGCUAAUUUCUUAUUUAUUACUACCUAAUAAAUUUUUUGCAACAAGUAAUGUUGGUUGUUUAUUAUUGCAGCCAGCACUAUGUCUUACCAAGCAGGUGUUAUUACAAAAGAGCAGUAUUUUGUAACAGGCUUAUCUUUGCAAGGUAUGUAGGAAGAUGGCAAGAGAGGUGACUACAAAUCAAGAUUGUGCACCUCAGAAACAGCUCAGGAAUUCAUCAAGAAAACUGGAAAACGUUAGCCAUGGCAAACCAGCACUGAACACGGUAUUUGAGGUGCGGCCUCACCAGUGCCCAGUACAGGGGGAUGAUCACUGCCCUGCCGCUGCUGGCCACGCUAUUGCUGAUACAAGCCAGGAUGCCGCUGGCUGCCUGGGCACAAGCUGGAUCAUGUUCAGCAGCCGCCAGCCAGGCCCGUUUCCGCCGGGCAGCUUUCCAGCCGCUACUCCCCAAGCCCGUGUGCAGGCUGCGCUCAGGAGCGUUGGCACGCCCGGUCCCCACGCGAGCCUAUACCCACGUGUAUCACCCCCGCGCGAGUCCCACACACGCAUGGGCUGCACACGGGUGUCUCCCCCCGCCUGCUGCUCCUGCCCCAGAGCUGUAGCACCGCGCGGCUGCCGCAGCCCCACGGGGGCGAGCGGCGCCUCAGAGGAACGAGGCAGCGGCCACCGAGGCGGUCGCAGCCACACCGAGGAGCCUGGAGCUCCGCCGAGCAGCCCUUCGGGAGCGGGAGGGGCCGCGGGGCACACGCACGUUCGAGAGGACCCGGUAGGGCCGCGCUGCGCCUCGCAGCGGCCCGUCCCGGGGCCGCGCUGCCC
rnacentral:lncRNA from 1 species